rnacentral:rRNA from 1 species
AUUGAACGCUGGCGGCAGGCCUAACACAUGCAAGUCGAGCGCGAAAGGUUCUUCGGGACUGAGUAGAGCGGCGGACGGGUGAGUAACGCGUAGGAAUCUACCCAGUGGUGGGGGACAACUUGGGGAAACUCAAGCUAAUACCGCAUACGCCCUACGGGGGAAAGCGGGGGACCUUCGGGCCUCGCGCCAUUGGAUGAGCCUGCGUUGGAUUAGCUAGUUGGUGGGGUAAAGGCCCACCAAGGCGACGAUCCAUAGCUGGUCUGAGAGGAUGAUCAGCCACACUGGGACUGAGACACGGCCCAGACUCCUACGGGAGGCAGCAGUGGGGAAUAUUGCGCAAUGGGCGAAAGCCUGACGCAGCCAUGCCGCGUGUGUGAAGAAGGCCUUAGGGUUGUAAAGCACUUUCAAUUGGGAAGAAAAGUUCACGGUUAAUACCCGUGAGCCCUGACAUUACCUUUAGAAGAAGCACCGGCUAACUCCGUG